GCGUCGCGCGUGGCUUCCUCUCCAAUCCCGUCGCUCCCUCUCCCCUUCCAAUCCCGCAGAUGCAGCCGCCGCCUCCCCAGCUCCCUCUCCCUGCUGCCGAGCUCGCCUUCGGCCGCCGCUCGCCCCGCAACCGCGUGUCGUCGGACGGCGGAGAUGGGCCGAGGCGGGCGGGAGAGCGCCGGCGGCGAGGAGGCGCACGGGGGCAGGCGGGCGCACGGGGACGGCGGCCGGGAGAUGGAGGGCGGCGACCGGCGGCGGGGAGCAGCGCCGGAGGGGCGGCGGCCGGAGGUGGAGGGCGGCGGCCGGAGGAGCGGCGGCUGCUGGGUGCAGAUUCAUGGCGACCUCACAGCGACGGAUUUGCAAGAGAUUUUUUUCCCUCUCGUUGGUUCCUUUGGCUGGAUCUCCCGUCCUUUUAUUUUGCCUCGAAUUUGGGUUCGGUUACGAUCAACAUUUGUUUGACCGGUGGGGAUUUUGUUCCAAUCCGCUCGCUUUUCUUUGGGGUCUGCAAGAGAUUUUUUUUUUGUUCUUGGGUCGUUUCUUUCUCUGGAUGCUCCCGUGUUCUUUUUGACUGUAAUUUGGCCCCUUGCUGCUUCUCCUCUUGUCCUUUACCUUUUGGAUUUUUUUUAGUUCGAGUCUUUUCCGAUUUGGAUUAUUCUUUCGGGUUGCUGGUGUUCUUUCUGUCGCUGCCCUUUUGAUCGAUUUUCCCGUUUCUGGGCUGAUAAGUGACGUGAAUUCUCCUUGUUUCAUGUUUCUUACUCACAGGUCAUUGCCUUCCUAGAGAUUGCUGUGUCGAGUGGACGCGGCUGAUUGAAGGUUCUCGUCUUGGUCUGCUAUCUAAGUCUGCUCGUGCACUGUUGCUGCCGUCGUCGACCUCGAGAAGGGCACUCCAACCUCCAGUGGAUCAUCUUCAUUUCCACAAUGGGUUCCGAAACAAUCACUUGGCGCAUGAUAUAUGGAAUGAACGAUAGUUUUGGGUGUCUUUACUUGUGAGUACCAGGCAUUAGUAGGCGUAAAUCCAACCAAAGAAUCAUCAGAAUUGAUUAUCUAAUUCCCCAACAGUUAUUAGAGACAAUUAGGAGGUUAGUAGUUGGUCUGCUUAAAAUUGUUUCUGCAGUAUGUUUCACUCUCAAUGGGAGCUUCUGCAGUAAAAUGAUUUUAAAUGAAAAUAUAGGUACUUAAACAUAUAUCUAUAUUGUAUAUUUGAUGCAAACAUUUUUCACCAUCCAAGUUUACAAUGCUGAGCUGGUGAAAACAGUAGAGCGAUGAUACACACCAGGGAUAUAGAUGAGGUUCACCUGAAGUAUUUUGAGAUUGAGCAAACUUAUGAAUUUAUAGGGCCAGGAUUUCUCUGUUCUGCUUUGAUUGCUAUGGCAGGAUUUUUACAAACAUAAGCUCAGAUUAAUUGUUUCAUUGCUGUUGUAAUACUUGCUCCAAUCCAUAAUAAGAGUUGGAAGUUUAGUUCAAAGUUGAGGACAUUUUAACUAAAAUCACAACACUUGUUAUGGAUCAGAUGGGGUACCUUUUUCUCUGGAAUGACCUAAAUAAGCUAUAGCACAUUGCUCUCAUAUCUAUUCAUGAGGUUUGGUUAUUUAGUUGAGAAGGACUAAGUUCAUAUGUAACAGAAAAAUAUUAUAUAGUUUUGCAGAAUCUAAGUACUGUACAUUAUUUUAAAAAUAACGCUGUUGUCUGAAUAGUAUAUGACUUAAGAAUCAGAAAGAGCUAGAGUGUGUACCUAUGAUUCCUCAGAUUGUGCUUGGCUGGCCAUUGCAGGUUCGACCAAAGCAUCCUCCCGCUGUUCGACACCGAUGUCUUCCCAGCAUCCUCCCGCUAACCGAUAUGUUCCCAGGAGCAUCCGCACAGGACAUAACAGGGCAGCAUAGGACAGCUCUAGCUGGUGCUGCAUAUGCAAAGCCAAAUCUAAUGGUUACCACUAUAUAUAUAUCGCAGAGCCAAUCACAAAACAGAGCCAAGACUUUAGGAGCGACACUGCAUUAUAUGAGCAUGCUUAAUUCUGUAAAUAGACAAGGAAUAGGUAGACCAUGCAAAUGUACAAGGGAAUUACAGGAAAGAUAAACAAGGUUGAUUGCAUGUGAACCA